rnacentral:lncRNA from 1 species
CAAUCCUAAGCAAGUACAGGAAUAUCAGGAUCUUUUGACUCCAGUACUUCAUCAUACCACAGAAGGAUAUCCUGUUGUACCAAAGUACUAUUAUGUGCCAGCUGACUUUGUAGAAUAUGAAAAAAAUAACCCUGGUAGUCAAAAACGAUUUCCUAGCAACUGUGGCCGUGAUGGAAAACUGUUUCUUUGGGGACAAGCACUUUAUAUCAUCGCAAAACUCCUGGAAACUCUACCUCUAUCCUGAUGUAAUUAGGUUAAGAAAAUUAAAGGCCACGGUCCAGAAAACUAACUUCCACAAAUGCAACAAAAGGAAAAAUUUCUCCAGUAACCUCUGUGCAAUGGGAAAUCUUUCUUUUAAGUACCAAGUCAAUUUCUUCAACUGUACAAUGUAUUCUAAUUUGAAGGUUUUCAAAUAUAAUAUAGUAACAACAAAAUAUAAUAAAAUUAAAACUAUCAG